rnacentral:rRNA from 1 species
UACGGAGGGUGCAAGCGUUGUCCGGAUUUAUUGGGUUUAAAGGGUGCGUAGGCGGUCUUUUAAGUCAGUGGUGAAAGCCUCCAGCUUAACUAGAGAAAUGCCAUUGAUACUGGGAGACUUGAGUACAGACGAGGUAGGCGGAAUUGACAGUGUAGCGGUGAAAUGCAUAGAUAUUGUCAAGAACACCGAUUGCGAAGGCAGCUUACUAGACUGUAACUGACGCUGAGGCACGAAAGUGUGGGGAUCAAACAGG